UACGGAGGGUGCAAGCGUUAUCCGGAAUUAUUGGGCGUAAAGAGCUCGUAGGCGGUUUGUCGCGUCUGCCGUGAAAGUCCGGGGCUCAACUCCGGAUCUGCGGUGGGUACGGGCAGACUAGAGUGAUGUAGGGGAGACUGGAAUUCCUGGUGUAGCGGUGAAAUGCGCAGAUAUCAGGAGGAACACCGAUGGCGAAGGCAGGUCUCUGGGCCACUACUGACGCUGAGAAGCGAAAGCAUGGGGAGCGAACAGG
rnacentral:rRNA from 1 species